UACGGAGGGGGCUAGCGUUGUUCGGAAUUACUGGGGCGUAAAGCGCACGUAGGCGGAUCAGCCAGUCAGGGGUGAAAUCCCGGGGCUCAACCCCGGAACUGCCCUUGAUACUGCUGGUCUGGAGUUCGAGAGAGGCGAGUGGAAUUCCGAGUGUAGAGGUGAAAUUCGUAGAUAUUCGGAGGAACACCAGUGGCGAAGGCGACUUUCUGGCAAAACUAGACGCUGAGAUGCGAAAGACGUGGGGAGCAAACAGGAUUAGAUACCCUGGUAGUCCCUGA
rnacentral:rRNA from 1 species